UACAGAGGUCCCAAGCGUUGUUCGGAUUCACUGGGCGUAAAGGGUGCGUAGGCGGUCGGGUAAGUCUGAUGUGAAAUCUCACAGCUUAACUGUGAAACUGCAUUGGAUACUAUCCGGCUAGAGGAAUGGAGGGGAGACUGGAAUACUUGGUGUAGCAGUGAAAUGCGUAGAUAUCAAGUGGAACACCAGUGGCGAAGGCGGCCUUCUGGACCAGUACUGACGCUCAUGCACGAAAGCGUGGGGAGCAAACAGG
rnacentral:rRNA from 1 species